UUUGUUCUGUACUGCAGUCCCCUAGCCCCUCCUCUCUCCCCUCCCUCUCCCUCUCUCUUCCUCCCUCCCUUUCUCUCCUCCCUCCCUCUCUGUCUUCUCUCUCUCCAUCUCUGUCUCUCUCCUCUCUGUCUGUCUGUUAGUCUGUCUCUUUCCUCUCUCUGUCUGCCUCUCUCUUUCUCUCUCUCUCUCUCUGUUUCUCUCUGUUUCUCUCUCCUUUCUCUUUCCUCUCUCUCUCUGUUUCUUCUCUCUCUCCUUUCUCUCUGUUUCUCUCCUUUCUGUCUCUCUCUUUGUCUCUCUCCUUUCUCCCCUUCUCCCUUUCUCAUCUCCUUUUCUCUCUCUCUGUCUCUGUCUUUCUCUCUGUGUAUCCAUCUCUGUCUCUCUCUUUUCUCUCUGUCUUUGUAUCUCUCUGUUGGUCUAUCUCUGUCUCUGUUGGUCUGUCUCUGUCUGUCCUUCCCUCCCCUUCCCCCCACAUUGCCACAUUCCACAAUGGGCUUUAAUUGAGAAUUUGUCCCCUAACCAGUAGCCUGGGCUGAUAGAGGAGCUGCAGAAAUUGGAUGGCAGAGGAGGAGAGGCAGAGCCUGGAGCUGCCCAAGUUGGGGCCAUUAGUUGGGGCGUCUUCCUUGGGGACAAAGUGCACAGCUGGGUCACGGGAGCAGGGAACCCCUUCUUAUCCUAUUUUGCUCCCUCGGGCUGGCUGGCCACUGCAGCCUCUUAGUAAAAGAGACACCAGAGAGAGCCAUUAGACCUCCCCUGGCCAACCCGGAAGGCCACAUCUCUUGGUCCUUGUCUUGGGUUCCUGCAGAACUCCUGUCAGAGGCAGCCCCAGGCACCAUCGCCCAUCC
rnacentral:lncRNA from 1 species